CACACAGACUGGCACACAUACAGACACACACACACACACACACACACAAGACACACAUACAAAGACACAUACAGAGACACAGACAGGCACACAUACAUACAUACAUACAUACAGACACACAGACAGACACACAAGACACAUACAUACAGACACACACAAGACACAUACAUAUAGACAGGCACACAUACAUACAGACACACACACAUACAAAGACACACACAUAAGACAUCCAUAG